CGAAACAACCUGCCGCAAAGUGACGCUGCAAAAACGGAAUGCGUAGAAUGGGCGAAAUCAAACGCAACAAUGAGACCGCUUCCAACUGUCAGAAAUACUUCCGAGAAGAGUGCCAAACCAGAAAGCAGAACGGACACAUUUUGCUCAACGCGGUGCGGAUUAGAUUGAACUACUUCGAAAAGCACUGGAAAGUGCGAGUUCGUGGAAAAUCAGUAACAGAAACACUUCAAUACGCAGUUACGGCGGACAGGUCAAUAUCGACAAGCAAAGAGCAAUAUCGAGCAAACAACGUGGUGGCACUGUUUUUCCCCGUACUCACGAUAGCACGACGCACACGGACUUGCAUUUGAAGAACCAAUUUGUUCACUGGAUCAGGACUCUGCAUGAGAGACCACGUCACGAACCCGUGUUGGUCAAUAAUCACGUAUCUCGAUUAGACAGAAGCGAAGGGGAUCGUCAAGGUCCCCUUACUUUACAGAUCGGACUUCGGUGUACCGUGUUGGCGACCCACUGUCAUGUGAUGGCGAUGACCGUGUAGUAUUCGUGAACUGAAGGCAGCAGUGUGCCUUAUCAGCUGGUUUGUGAAAGGAGCGAGAGCACUCUACCCGUGUGCUGAUUUACCGUACAGUGACGCUGGAAUGAACCAGUUCGAAGAUUGCAGCGGCUAACGAAUCGGGACUGGCAACAUUGCGCGAAGAGCUAGUUAGUUUUGCAUGCUGGCAUUUAGGAAGGUGAGCGGCAGUGAGGCGGAGGUUGGAUCAUAGGCUGGCGUAUAUGAAUAGAGUCGGGAUGGCGAUGGCAUGAGUAAGUGAAGAGCGGGAGAGAAAUGCAUGCAGGAACAUAAGGUUAGUGAACGGUACCGAGGAGGAUGUUAGAGGCUAAGGAAUAAAUAGUAAUGAAAGUAAAUGAAAAUGCAUGUUAGAAUUAGGUAAUAGUAAGAGGAGGAAGAAAUAAGUUGAGGGAGAAAAUUAGGAGAGAGAAGGAGAAGAUGGAAUGUCGGGGGAUAGCAUGUAGGAUUGAAUACAUUAUCAUGUGACAGUA